rnacentral:rRNA from 1 species
CUAGUAUUAACGCGAAGACCUUAACCAGGCCUUGACAUCCAAUGAACUUUCCAAAGAUGGAUGGGUGCCUUCGGGAACAUUGAGACAGGUGCUGCAUGGCUGUCGUCAGUGUGUCGUGGAUGUUGGGUUAAGUCCCGUAACGAGCGCAACCCUUGCCUUAGUUACCAGCACGUUAUGGUGGGCACUCUAAGGAGACUGCCGGUGACAAACCGGAGGAAGGUGGGGAUGACGUCAAGUCAUCAUGGCCCUUACGGCCUGGGCUACACACGUCUACAAUGGUCGGUACAGAGGGUUGCAAGCCGCGAGGUGGAGCUAAUCCCAUAAAACCGAUCGUAGUCCGGAUCGUAGUCUGCAACUCGACUGCGUGAAGUCGGAAUCGCUAGUAAUCGCGAAUCAGAAUGUCGCGGUGAAUA